UACGUAGGGGGCUAGCGUUGUCCGGAAUCAUUGGGCGUAAAGAGCGUGUAGGCGGUCCGGUAAGUCCGUUGUGAAAGUCAGGGGCUCAACCCUUGAAUGCCGGCGGAUACUGUCGGGCUAGAGUCCGGAAGAGGCAAGUGGAAUUCCCGGUGUAGCGGUGAAAUGCGCAGAUAUCGGGAGGAACACCUAUGGCGAAGGCAGCUUGCUGGGACGGUACUGACGCUGAGGCGCGAAAGCGUGGGGAGCAAACAGG
rnacentral:rRNA from 1 species